GAGUAGUAUCAGUUAAGAUCUAAAAACUCAAAAGAUUUGGCGGUAUUUUAUCUUAUUAGAGGAACCUGUUUUUUAAUUGAUAAUCCACAACUAUUUACUUUUAUUAUUUUACUUGUAUAUCGCCGUCAAAAAUAUAUUAAUAAAUAAAUUUUUAUAAGUUUAAUGUUAGGUCAAGGUGCAGUUUUUUACGUUAAAUGGGUUACUUUAAAAGAAUGGAUUAAAAAAGGAUUUAAUAGUAAUAUAAGUAUUAAUGAAUAAAGAUUCUAAAAUAUG
rnacentral:rRNA from 1 species